UGGGGAAUUUUGGACAAUGGGCGAAAGCCUGAUCCAGCAAUGCCGCGUGUGUGAAGAAGGCCUUCGGGUUGUAAAGCACUUUUGUCCGGAAAGAAAUCCUUGGCUCUAAUACAGUCGGGGGAUGACGGUACCGGAAGAAUAAGCACCGGCUAACUACGUGCCAGCAGCCGCGGUAAUACGUAGGGUGCAAGCGUUAAUCGGAAUUACUGGGCGUAAAGCGUGCGCAGGCGGUUUGCUAAGACCGAUGUGAAAUCCCCGGGCUCAACCUGGGAACUGCAUUGGUGACUGGCAGGCUAGAGUAUGGCAGAGGGGGGUAGAAUUCCACGUGUAGCAGUGAAAUGCGUAGAGAUGUGGAGGAAUACCGAUGGCGAAGGCAGCCCCCUGGGCCAAUACUGACGCUCAUGCACGAAAGCGUGGGGAGCAAACAGGAUUAGAUACCCUGGUAGUCCACGCCCUAAACGAUGUCAACUGGUUGUUGGGAAGGUUCCUUCUCAGUAACGUAGCUAACGCGUGAAGUUGACCGCCUGGGGAGUACGGCCGCAAGGUUG
rnacentral:rRNA from 1 species